GUUUGAUCCUGGCUCAGAUUGAACGCUGGCGGCAUGCCUAACACAUGCAAGUCGAACGAUGAUUACUAGCUUGCUAGUAUGAUUAGUGGCGGACGGGUGAGUAAUAUAUAGGGAUCUGCCUGUUAGUGGGGGACAACAGCCGGAAACGGCUGCUAAUACCGCAUACGCUCUACGGAGGAAAGUGGGGGACCCUCGGGCCUCACGCUAACAGAUGAACCUAUAUCAGAUUAGCUAGAUGGUGGGGUAAAGGCCUACCAUGGCGACGAUCUGUAGCUGGUUUGAGAGAAUGAUCAGCCACACUGGGACUGAG
rnacentral:rRNA from 1 species